AUAAUAAUACGGGUGUUAGAUUCAUGGGGAUCCCAUUAGUACUCGAGGAACAAGAAAGAAAACUAUCCGUUAACAGCCUAGAAAUAUCAAAUCGACAUCACAAUCCUUUUCCCUGCAGGAAAAUAGUAACGUUAAAAAACAACCCGUCUGUUACACUUCCACUUCAUUGAUUUUGAUUUACAGUACACGAAAUAAUUCCUUGAUCUUUCAAGUUCCUCUUUUCUUUGCCUGUUAAAUUCUGUAACAACACUGGAGUUCCACGGUGGAGACAAAGUAGAAGUAUGUAGCGAAGAGGAAGGAUUUCUUGGAUCAUAUUAUGCAGCGACAACGGUCAAGAACUUAGUGGAAGAGGAAGACAUGUCAAAGCAUCUGAUAGAGACACACCGCAAGCCCAGCGCUAAAACACACCGCUGGAGCACUCUGCUCAACGGCCUUAACCUGCGCACCCACCCAACACCUAAACCAUUAACUCGCCCGCUCGCCCGCUCAAACCCAGUCCUCCUCAUCUUCUUCUUCUUCAAGCCAAACCCCUUUCUAGUCGAUGGAGUGACAAUUUCUAAGAAAACUCCGCUAAUGGUGCUGCUCUUUAAUCUCUUUGAUAGAAGGCGGAUGAUUCUGUAAUUUCAGGAUGUAUAUAAAGCAGGCAUUUAACCUGCUUGCUUAGUUCUCUUCAUUGUGCAACCAACAAUAGGCAGGAGAACCAAAAUCAUAUCGGAUCUGCUGAUAUCUGUUUCAAAAGAAUAGAGACAAGCCAGGAUUAAAGUUCACCAAGAUUCCUUAAGACUUGAUUUCAACUUGUUAGUUAAUAGCAUUUGCAUAUGGCUUUAGCUGGAAUCUUGAUACUGGCAUUUUUUUUUUCAGGCAUUUAACCUGCUUGCUUAGUUCUCUUCAUUGUGCAACCAACAAUAGGCAGGAGAACCAAAAUCAUAUCGGAUCUGCUGAUAUCUGUUUCAAAAGAAUAGAGACAAGCCAGGAUUAAAGUUCACCAAGAUUCCUUAAGACUUGGUAGUGUGGGUGUUAUCGGGUAUUUUCCACCAGCAUGCUUUGAGCUCAGCAAGACCCCUUUAAUAUCAUUGAAGACGCCCUUUUGGGCAUGACCAAACUCAAGAACGAAUACUACGCGAAGACACAGUUAUAAAAGCUUGCAGGGUUGAAUUCCCUACGAAGCCUAUUAUCUCAAAUGAGGCGAAGGUGAGUUUGAUUUGAGUCUGGUAGUUUUCACAGCAUAUUCUCUUAGGUCUUAUUCUCACAGCAACAGUGGAUGAUGAUUUUUGUACGUGCAUCUGAUGGAUUACAUGAUUUGAUUUGUCAAUGUCUGACCUAUAACCAAGCAGAGAGACCAGAUGUUUUAACCAUUGCUCAAGAUCCAUAUCUUACAUACUUAAAGAAGUAAAGAGUGUACAAAGUCAUCGGAAACUACUAGAGAAAUGUAACUGUAUCAGAAACUACUUCCCAUGAAAUGUAUAAUUCCUGCAUCUUCUGUAAGAAAUUGUCCAUCAUGUAAUCUAGCGCACCGAGAUUCAUGCCGAGAAAGCAUGGUAGUUCCAUAAAUCUGUCAUUUAUUAAAAGUAUGGUCAUUUAAUAUGUAUAUCAUCACUUUGUCAUCAUACAUGUGUUUGUGUGUAAUCCUUUUGAAAUCAUGAAAUUCUGGAAAUAUUAACACUGUAUAGAGAGUUAUAUGUUCAAAGAUGUUGGGAGGCUGAAAAGAGCACCUUAUGGGAGUUAAAAGUGGGGGAGCGAGGAUCAAGACGGGGAUGGGGGAUGCAUUUCUUUAUUGUAGUUCCUUGUUUCAGGAAUUGAUUGGAUCUUGGUUAAUUUAUUAAUUUUUUUUGUGCUUUCUUUGUUUCGUCAAUUUAUUUGACUUUGGCUUGAUCCAUUUUAAGUGGGCUACCCUUUGCUUUCUCUUACAACUGUCUUCUGCAGUUGGAGAUAACAGACCUGACAAGAAUAUUUUUUUUCAUUCCAUUCGUUUUGUAUUGAGUGAUCUCUUCCACAACCUAUGCAAUUAUGACAAGCAUUAACUACUCGAUGGAGGUGCAGGACAUCAAGUUUUAUCUGCUUUCAUUGAUAUUGUGUUGAUAAUUCUGACAAUGGCAUCUCGGUGAUCGUUGUUUUUCCUUAAAAGUUGUUUUUUAAGCAUCUUUUCUGGAAGUGCUUAAUUGGUUGAAUGUGCUUUUGGUUUGUAAAGACGUUGAAGAACUCAAGCUUUCUGUGGCAAAAGAUCACAUCCAGGUAUAAGAGGAGUUUGAAAGAGUUGCAUAAAAUGCUUCAUUGGUGCAAUGAGCAUUUCAACAGUUCAGCCAUGUAAACAAGGAGGCACUAGAUCAACAUGUAAAUCUCACUAGGAAACAGGAGGAACUUCAGACACGGCAAGCUGAACUUGAGGCAAGUGACAAGGUACUACGGUACUGGAUUUUAAUGGUUAAAUGUCUUCUGUUGUACUUAUUGUUUUUAAUGUGAGAUUAUGAUUUAUGUAUCUUUACUUCAACGAUAAACAUAAGCCAUAAAAAAAUAGACUGAGCUUGAGCCUGAUGUGAAAGACGUGCUAGAGAGAAUUUCAGAACAUAUCCAAGCCAAGGUAUCAAACUGUAGCAAAGAGAAAAAUGCUAAUUAUUUUUUGGGGAUAAAAAAUGUUGAAUGCUUUUAUUUAACAUGUGCUUUGCUUUCAGGAUGAUGCUAUGCUAAAAUGUAAGGUAUCUCCUCAACUAAAAUUUUCUACAUAUUACUACCUAAGCUAUAAUUUCAGCUGAAAGGGCCUCACUUUAGGUUUUUGUCCUCUACUGUCAAUAAACUAAUUUAUACAGCUAACAUGGUCGGUAAUAAUAAAACACAGUCUAGUAGAUGGAGAAUUUGCAAAUAAGUAAUUAAAACAUCAUUAUUUAAGAAUUAUUUGUGUAUUUUGUUACUUAAAUUAAUAUGUUAGGGGAUUUUAUACCUUCUUUGAUUUGACCUAGUGGAGGAUUUGGGGGACCUGAAUGGACACACAUAGUCGAGUGAAAUUUGAUUUUUUGCAAUUUAUACAGGUUUCCUUACUCUUGUGGAUAUGAACUCUUCUACUUUCGUCGUAGAUUCAAGGAAGCUUUUGUGGAUUUCUAGGUUUUCUUUCCUUCACUUGUUGUUGGGUGAUUUUUCGUUUUAGUCCAAGGAACCGGAACCAUCUUGUUAUGAGAAAUAAUUGAUUUUUAUUUUCCACAUUAACUGGACACUUCGAUGAUAAGUUUUUUACCUUUUCCAGAUGUUGUACUAGCUACAAAUGUUCGGGAUUUAUUCAAGGUCUAUAGCAGUAACUAGUAGAUGCCCACCAUUAUACUAAAAACAAGACCCCUUUGAAAAUUUCUAGUUUUAUGAUGAGCUGUCUUCAAGGUUUAUGUGUAAAUGUAUGGAUUAAUUGAAAUUAGAUAAGUAUGUUUUGCUACUUGGUAUGAGUAUGCAAUUGAACUUCUUAACUCUAUUGUUGCAAGUCCUCGUGCCUCUCUUGCCAUUUCCUUUAUAUUCUGAUUUUUUGAUUUUAAAUAAGUCAUCUACUUCAGGAAGAAAAUUAUAGGCUGAAUGCAGACUUCAAAGAGCGAAAUGCCUACGUUGAGAGCUGCAGAGCUGAAAUCGUUAUUUUCUAGUCUCAUGAAGGAUUCAAUAGUCAUAAAGCAUAGAGAAACAAGCUACAAGAAGCAUGUAUCCUUUUCUCUUUCUAUUUUGGUCAGGCUUAUUGAAAGGGCAUAGUUUGACUAGACUUUUCUGCUUUUGUAGAUCAUGGUGAAAAAGAAAAGUGAACUUAUUGUUGAAUUUGAUAAGCUAAGACCACAAGUGUUCUUAUUCCUCUGUCGUUGGGUCCUAUUUAUAGGAAAAAUCUCUUGUAGAUGUCACUAAUCAAAUAGUGAGCUUAAAGCCACUGUGACCACGAAACAAGGUGAGGUGGGCACAGAGCUCAUUGAUCACUUAACACCACAGGAAAAACAUGAACUAUCCCAGCUGAACUAAGAAAUAAAAGAUCUUAAAGAGGAGCUUAUUAAAUUUAGAACAGAUCGCAUCGAGGUAAGAUAUCUCAACCUUGUGAGAAGCAACUGUACUUAUCCUUAACAGGUAUUUGUUCUGUUUCACAUGAAGCUUUUGUGGCCUUCCAAGCUACUUCCAUAUUUAUGAUCUGCUUUCUGAUAGGCCUCUUGCUUGCUGUCAUGCAUGCCUAUAUGCUAAUGGGUGUAUGGUAAUACAUUGCCCCAAAAGUUUCUGUAUAUUUGUUGCUAAUUGAGGUGGGUGACUUUUUGGAAGAAAAUAGUUUAUUAUCGUUUAUUAUUGCCACCUGUUGCACUAGAGGUGAUAGAUUGAUGUUGCACUGAUGUGUCUUGGCCUCAAACCCUAGAAAAAUAAUAUUACUUGUCACUGAAAAAUGAGUAAAUAAAAAGAAACGAAUUAUUCCUCAUGCUUUUACAAUGUCUAUCUGCUAUUUGUGAUUUAUUAAGAUACAUUUUGAGUAUUAACAUUAGUUUUUGUUACUAUGAAGGCAAAGGUGAUGGUACAAAUGCAGAAUCUGGAGCACAUGAAGAAGAUUUUCUCAUCCAGGAUGAGAUUUCUAAAUCUUGUCUAGUGAACGUGUAGCGUGUAAGUCAUUCUUUAUGGAGAUGCUGCAUUUUGCAAGUAUUGCAAAAGUUGCAAGUGCUCCAUUAUACAUGCAUCCCUUGUUAUUGAAUUGUUGAUUAUCUGUAGGAGGAAGAGACAAUUUUGCAUGAGAGAGACGGCUAUAAACUGGAAGAGGGACGUCUUAUACGUGAAUUGAAAAGGAUACGAGAUGAGGAUGAUUCAAGUUUUAAUAAUUUUCAGAUUUUAAAUCAUCAAUAUGCCCUUUUAAACCUUCUUGGGCAAGGAGGAUUUAGUGAGGUUUACAAGGUCCGAACUUCGGCAAGUAGUUUCAAUUGAUAAUAGAAAGUAGUUUCAUUUGAUAAUAGAAACACUAACCUUUGCUUGUUUGAUGAAAAUUCUUAUAUACCAUGACAAGAGUAUAGAUCAUUCUGUUGCCAAUAUUGACAAUUGUAAAAGCACAUCCUUUUGCAGUGAUUUGAAGUGAGAAAUUUCCGGCAGGCUUAUGAUUUGGUCGAGCAUAGGAAGGUGCAGGGCAUCAUGUUUUAUCUGCUUUUGUUGAGAUUGUGUUGAUAAUUCCGACAAUCACAUCCCGGUAAUACUUCAUAACCUACUUCUUUUUCUUUUCUGAGGUAUGGAGUGUAAAUAAUGGUCCACAUCUUAUUAAGAAAGAAGAAGGAUCCUGAAUUUUAUAUUUGUUUUUUUCUUCUUCUAACAUAUAAGCUUAUCUUUAUCUUUACAAAGCUUCUCCCACAAUGCUCCAGAAUUUCUUUUGAAUUAGUUGUUCUAUCAUGAGGCAUAAUUUUAUUUUAGUUCAGAAAGUCAAACUUUGGCCACCA